CUGUCACAACGGCUUCCUGACGUGGCAGUGCCUUUUUAUCGGAGCA
rnacentral:ncRNA from 1 species